UCUGCCGGCCACUACCCAAAACAUUUCAUUGCGAACAAGCGUUUCCUGGAUUCAAUUACAUGCCAAUGAGUCGCAGAAGUCCAAAAAAUGCAAGUAAUGAAUUUAAAGACAAUAGUGAAGAAAAAAAUCUAAAAGUCACAAUAAAACAUUUAAAUCAUACAAUUCAUAAAUGCAACACACCAGGACAAAUUAUUGAUGAAUGCUUUAUAUGUGAAUGUGAAACUAACAAUGUAAUAAUAGAAGAACAUUGCUUUAAAAGUGACGCUGAUGCUUGCGUCAACAAAAGGCCAACGUUUUUAAAUGGAGAUAAAGCUGAAAAUUAAUCUUCUGAACUCAACUAUUCUUUGAUAAUAUUGUGUAUACUGUACACAAGAUUACAAAUUUAAUUAAAAAUAGAUUUGUUUCUUGAGACGAUAUUAAAUUAGGUGAUCCGUA